UGGGGAAUAUUGGACAAUGGGCGGAAGCCUGAUCCAGCAACGCCGCGUGAGGGAUGACGGCCUUCGGGUUGUAAACCUCUUUCAGUACCGACGAAGCGGAAGUGACGGCAGGUACAGAAGAAGCACCGGCCAACUACGUGCCAGCAGCCGCGGUAAUACGUAGGGUGCGAGCGUUGUCCGGAAUUAUUGGGCGUAAAGGGCUCGUAGGCGGUUUGUCGCGUCGGGAGUGAAAACACUGGGCUUAACUCAGUGCUUGCUUCCGAUACGGGCAGACUAGAGGCAUGCAGGGGAGAACGGAAUUCCUGGUGUAGCGGUGAAAUGCGCAGAUAUCAGGAGGAACACCGGUGGCGAAGGCGGUUCUCUGGGCAUGUCCUGACGCUGAGGAGCGAAAGUGUGGGGAGCGAACAGGAUUAGAUACCCUGGUAGUCCACACCGUAAACGUUGGGCGCUAGGUGUGGGGCCUAUUCCAUGGGUUCCGUGCCGCAGCUAACGCAUUAAGCG
rnacentral:rRNA from 1 species